GGCGCGUUCGUCUAGUGGCCUAGGACGCCGGCCUCUCACGUCGGUAACACGGGUUCGACUCCCGUACGCGCUACCA
rnacentral:tRNA from 1 species